CCUCGUGAGUCAGCAGUGAGGAAUAUUGGUCAAUGGCCGAGAGGCUGAACCAGCCAAGUCGCGUGAGGGAAGACGGCCCUACGGGUUGUAAACCUCUUUUGUCGGGGAGCAAAGCGAACCACGUGUGGUUCAUUGAGAGUACCCGAAGAAAAAGCAUCGGCAAACUCCGUGCCAGCAGCCGCGGUAAUACGGAGGAUGCGAUCGUUAUCCGGAUUUAGUGGGUUAAACGGGUGCGCAGGCGGAGGUGCAAGUCAGCGGUCAAAUUGCGGGGCUCAACCCCGUACUGCCGUUGAAACUGCAUCCCUUGAGUGCGCGAGAAGUAUGCGGAAUGCGUGGUGUAGCGGUGAAAUGCAUAGAUAUCACGCAGAACUCCGAUUGCGAAGGCAGCAUACCGGCGCGCAACUGACGCUCAUGCACGAAAGCGUGGGUAUCGAACAGGAUUAGAUACCCCUGUAGUC
rnacentral:rRNA from 1 species